GUGUCCAGCGCCGCGACCGGCUGGUCGUCCGCCUCGGCCCCCGCCCGCGUCCCCUUUCCCCCGGGGCGCAGCGCUACGGCGGGCGCGGGCCGCCCGGCGCAUUGUUCGCAGCCUUCGCGGCGGUGCGCUGCUGACUUUAUUUGUGCGCUUUGCGUGUGCGUGAGGUUGCACCUUUUGUAGGCUGGCGAGUCUCUGGACGAGGAUGGGACGGGGGACACGGGCCCAGUUGCGGCCCUGCGCGAGCGGGACCUGUCAGCCCUGAGGUGCAGCGGACCCUCCGGCAUGGCCGGAAAAUCGAGGCCGGGGAGAAGGCAGCGUGGCCGGGAAGCUGCCGCCUUAAACCCGGACCAGUGCAGGAUUGCUUCCUGCGUAGCCGUCCCGGUUAUUGUAACACGCUUUGCAAGCUAACGACUGGGAAUAAAGCCAAGUUGUGAUUUCGCCUCUACAGACCUCUCUACCCGCCCAGCUCUUCCUCGGAUAUUCUCCUAAACCAGAAGCUGCAGAGAAGGAAGGAUUUGGGAUUUGCGGCUACACAGCCAAGGACGCUUUUGUCAUCUUCAAAGGACCCCCUACACCCUACACGCUUGGCCCGCUCUGUUCAUUGCCAACAGAGUGAUGGUUGAAUGCAUUCACAUGGUUCCAAAUUCAAAUAAACAGCAAGAAGUCUCCCUCCCACCCUGUCUGCCACCCACUUGGUUUUCCUUCUCUGGAGGCAACCUGGGUUAGUGGUCAGAAGAUGCAUUUAACUGUUUUCCAGCUGAGGCCUUGUGAGAACUCCUCGGACACCAAUUUAAAUCUUUAUGUCCAGAACUCCUUUCUCCAAUCCAGAGAGAUGAGGUUCCACCAUUCUUGCCCAGACUGGUUUCGAACUCCUGGACUCAAGCGAUUUGCCUGCCUCGGCCUCAAAAAGUGCUGGGAUUACAUGCAUGAGCCACCACACCCGGACCCUCUCUCUUAAAUAGUGGCCCUUUUGCCUCUCUGCAACACAGGAAAAAUUCUGUUAGCCUGCAUCAGAAGGAGUGGCAUGGAGGCUUUGGAGUUAAGAAGAUUUAAUUCAAAUUAUGUGUCCGGUGCCUGCCAGCAAUGAGACCUUGGUAAGGUUUCUUAACCUCUCUGAGCUGGGACCAUACCUUCUGCGUUGGUUUAAUAUAAAGGUUAAAUGCAUGUAAAUAAAUGACUUCUAAAAUAAAUAACAUUCUAAAAUGUUAGUAACAACUAAAUACAAUAUUUAGAUCUUGUGAGGAUUUGAUUUGAAUAAAUAAGAUUUUUUUAAAAGACAUUUUUGAGACAAAAUGUAGACUAUCUGAUAUUAAGAAAUUAAUCACUUUUUCAGAUAUGAUAAUGGCAUUGCAGUUUUUUUUAAGUUCUUAUCUAUUACAGAUACAUAAUGAGGCAUUUUGAGUGAAAAUAUAUCUAGGAUUUGCUUUCCAAUACUCCAUCCCCUCCCCAUCAAAACACUAAAUAAAUGAAACAAGAUUAGUGAAAUACGGAAAAUUGUUGAAGUUAUUCAUUAUUCCAUUUCCCAUAUGGAACUUUCCAUACUAGUUUCCCUACUGCUGUUGAAUAUUUGACAUGUUUCAAAUACAUUUGAAAUAAAUUUAUUGUCUGAGAUGAUCAGGUUGAAAAAUAAUAAAAUGAAAUAAAUUUAAAAGUAAAAUAAACAUAACCCUUUUAAGCAUUAAAAUUAAAAAUUAUGAGGCUUGUUGAAUUAUUACUGUUAUAAAUAAUUACAUACAUGUAUUUUUGAAACAGUCUUGCUCUUUCACCCAGGCUGCAGUGCAGUGGCAUAAUCACAGUUCACUGCGGCCUCAACCUCCCAGGCUCAGGUGAUCCUUGCACGUCUGCCUCCCAAGUAGCUGGGACUGCAGGUGUGCACCACCAUGCCUGGCUAAAUUUUUCUCUUUUGUAGAGACGGGUUUUGCGAUUUUGCCCACACUGGUCUUAAAGUCCUGGG
rnacentral:lncRNA from 1 species